GGCGCAGUGGUAGCGCGUCGUUCUUAUACUCGUCCUCGCACAAGUAUGACCUGAAAGGCUAUGCGAAUGUCGUGGGUUCGACCCCCACCCGGAGCA